rnacentral:tRNA from 1 species
ACCUGGGUGGCUUAGUCAGUUAAGUGUCUGACUUCAAUUCAGGUCAUGAUCUCGUGGUUCGUGGGUUCGAGUCCCACGUCAGGCU